UACAAAGAAAAUUUUUUGCGAAAUGAUAUCGAAUUUGGCGACGAUGAUUUAUAGUUUACAUCAAGUUCAAGUUCAAUUUAUUUCACACUAUUUGGCGUAUAUAUUACAUUAGAAGAGAUAGAUACUUAAUACUCAUAAUGUAUAUUCGGUAUAAAACAUUUAAAUUAUGUAAAUUAAUUAUAUAAAUAUUAUAUAAAUACAUUAUAAAUACAUUAUAAAUACAUUUAAAAGUUUUAAAUUAUGAUAUUCAAAUUGUGCACGGUGACCAAAGUAGCAUAAGCUUCCGAGUUGGCCACCGUUCUACUUUUGAUUUAUUAGGUAAAUUUUUUAGCUAAUUGGCAAUUCCAACUUUUAAUUUUGCACGCAGGGGGUGAUGGGAAGUAAGGUAUCAUAAUGCUGAUUAUGCUGAAACAUUUCAAUAAAAACUGCCGACACAACCGAAAUAUUUCAAUAUUUACAAGUAUAAGCUUUGAUAAGCUAUCACUCCGUGUUUACACGGCCGUCAUUUUUAUUUUUUCAGCAUAAUCAGCAAUAUGAUACCUUACUUCCCAUCCUCCCCUGCGCGCAUAAAUUAAAAGCUGGAAUUGCCUAUUGUAUAUCUCAUUACUAUUUGCAUGGUUUUACAGUCAAUAAAUUGAACUCUUGGUCAAAAGAAGAGAAAGAAAAGCAGCAAAGAAAAUUAGCAUACAUACACAAAAAUAAAGCUAUUUUUUUAUUAACUUAAAGGUGAUGUAAAGUCCGUAAUGUAAACAAACAUUUUGAACUCAGUGCUACAGUUGUAAAAUAUGAUUAGAUAUAUAUUAUACUGAACUUUCAACACUCUUCUGAUUCGCUAUACUUGUAAAUUA